rnacentral:rRNA from 1 species
GGCAAAGUUAAUAAGGGCGCACGGUGGAUGCCUUGGCACUAAGAGCCGAUGAAGGACGUGACUAACGACGAUAUUCUAGGGGGAGCAGUAAGUACGCAUUGAUCCCUAGGUCUCCGAAUGGGGAAACCCAGCUGCUACUAGCAGUUAUUCAUGAGUGAAUACAUAGCUCAUGUAAAGGUAACGCAGAGAACUGAAACAUCUAAGUACCUGCAGGAAGAGAAAGUAAAAACGAUUUCGUAAGUAGCGGCGAGCGAACGCGAAGAAGGGCAAACCAAGAAGCUUGCUUCUUGGGGUUGUAGGACUGCAACGUGGACUUAAGCAUUAUAGUCGAAUAACCUGGGAAGGUUAAUCAAAGAGGGUAAUAAUCCCGUAGACGAAAUAGCGCUUAUACCUAGCAGUAUCCUGAGUAGGGCUGGACACGCGAAAUCCAGUUUGAAUCCGGGAGGACCAUCUCCCAACCCUAAAUACUCCUUAGUGACCGAUAGUGAACCAGUACCGUGAGGGAAAGGUGAAAAGAACCCCGAGAGGGGAGUGAAAUAGCACCUGAAACCGUGUGCCUACAAGAAGUUCGAGCCCGUUAAUGGGUGAGAGCGUGCCUUUUGUAGAAUGAACCGGCGAGUUACGUUAUGAUGCGAGGUUAAGUUGAAGAGACGGAGCCGUAGGGAAACCGAGUCUGAAUAGGGCGACUUAGUAUCAUGAUGUAGACCCGAAACCUAGUGACCUAUCCAUGAGCAGGGUGAAGGUGUGGUAAGACGCACUGGAGGCCCGAACCAGGACACGUUGAAAAGUGUUUGGAUGACUUGUGGAUAGCGGAGAAAUUCCAAACGAACUGGGAGAUAGCUGGUUCUCUCCGAAAUAGCUUUAGGGCUAGCGUCGAAAUGUAAGUGUAUUGGAGGUAGAGCACUGUUUGGGUGAGGGGUCCGUCUAGGAUUACCAAUCUCAGAUAAACUCCGAAUGCUAAUACACAUGUUCGGCAGUCAGACUGCGAGUGCUAAGAUCCGUAGUCGAAAGGGAAACAGCCCAGACCAACAGCUAAGGUCCCAAAAUAUAUGUUAAGUGGAAAAGGAUGUGGGGUUGCACAGACAACUAGGAUGUUAGCUCAGAAGCAGCUAUCAUUCAAAGAGUGCGUAAUAGCUCACUAGUCGAGUGACCCUGCGCCGAAAAUGUACCGGGGCUAAACAUAUUACCGAAGCUUUGGAUUGAUAUUUUAUCAAUGGUAGGAGAGCGUUCUUAACCGCGAUGAAGGUAUACCGUGAGGAGUGCUGGAGCGUUAAGAAGUGAGAAUGCCGGUAUGAGUAGCGCAAGAUAAGUGAGAAUCUUAUCCACCGUAAGACUAAGGUUUCCAGGGGAAGGCUCGUCCGCCCUGGGUUAGUCGGGACCUAAGGCGAGGCCGAAAGGCGUAGUCGAUGGACAACUGGUUGAUAUUCCAGUACUAGAUAUGAUCGUGAUGGAGGGACGCAGUAGGCUAAGAGAUGCCAGUUAAUGGAUUCUGGUCUAAGCAGUGAGGUGUG